UUCUCCAUUGGCUGGUGCAAUUCAGUGGAGAGCUGAGACUAAACCCCAGUUUAGGAAACAUGCAGUUGACUUUCUGUGGUAAUCCUGGGAAUAGCC
rnacentral:snoRNA from 1 species